UACGUAGGUCCCGAGCGUUGUCCGGAUUUAUUGGGCGUAAAGCGAGCGCAGGUGGUCUAUUAAGUCUGGUGUAAAAGGCAGUGGCUCAACCAUUGUAUGCAUUGGAAACUGGUAGACUUGAGUGCAGGAGAGGAGAGUGGAAUUCCAUGUGUAGCGGUGAAAUGCGUAGAUAUUAGGAGGAACACCAGUGGCGAAGGCGGCUUACUGGACGGCAACUGACGCUGAGGCUCGAAAGCGUGGGGAGCAAACAGG
rnacentral:rRNA from 1 species